GAUGAACGCUGGCGGCGUGCCUAAUACAUGCAAGUCGAGCGAACAUACGAGGAGCUUGCUCCUCUGACGUUAGCGGCGGACGGGUGAGUAACACGUGGAUAACCUACCUAUAAGACUGGGAUAACUUCGGGAAACCGGAGCUAAUACCGGAUAAUAUAUUGAACCGCAUGGUUCAAUAGUGAAAGACGGUUUUGCUGUCACUUAUAGAUGGAUCCGCGCCGCAUUAGCUAGUUGGUAAGGUAACGGCUUACCAAGGCGACGAUGCGUAGCCGACCUGAGAGGGUGAUCGGCCACACUGGAGCUGAGACACGGUCCAGACUCCUACGGGAGGCAGCAGUAGGGUAUCUUCCGCAAUGGGCGAAAGCCUGACGGAGCAACGCCGCGUGAGUGAUGAAGGUCUUCGGAUCGUAAAACUCUGUUAUUAGGGAAGAACAAAUGUGUAAGUAACUAUGCACGUCUUGACGGUACCUAAUCAGAAAGCCACGGCUAACUACGUG
rnacentral:rRNA from 1 species